AGAGUUUGAUCAUGGCUCAGAGCGAACGCUGGCGGCAGGCCUAAUACAUGCAAGUCGAACGGCUCUUCGGAGCAGUGGCGGACGGGUGAGUAACGCGUGGGAACGUGCCCUUUGGUUCGGAACAACACAGGGAAAUUUGUGCUAAUACCGAAUGUGCCCUUCGGGGGAAAGAUUUAUCGCCAUUGGAGCGGCCCGCGUUGGAUUAGCUAGUUGGUGGGGUAAAGGCCCACCAAGGCUACGAUCCAUAGCUGGUCUGAGAGGAUGAUCAGCCACACUGGGACUGAGACACGGCCCAGACUCCUACGGGAGGCAGCAGUAGGGAAUCUUGCGCAAUGGGCGAAAGCCUGACGCAGCCAUGCCGCGUGAAUGAUGAAGGUCUUAGGAUUGUAAAAUUCUUUCACCGGGGAAGAUAAUGACGGUACCCGGAGAAGAAGCCCCGGCUAACUUCGUGCCAGCAGCCGCGGUAAUACGAAGGGGGCUAGCGUUGCUCGGAAUUACUGGGCGUAAAGGGCGCGUAGGCGGACAGUUUAGUCAGAGGUGAAAGCCCAGGGCUCAACCUUGGAACUGCCUUUGAUACUGACUGUCUUGAGUUCGGGAGAGGUGAGUGGAAUGCCGAGUGUAGAGGUGAAAUUCGUAGAUAUUCGGCGGAACACCAGUGGCGAAGGCGACUCACUGGCCCGAUACUGACGCUGAGGCGCGAAAGCGUGGGGAGCAAACAGGAUUAGAUACCCUGCUAGUCCACGCUGUAAACGAUGAGUGCUAGUUGUCGGCAUGCAUGCAUGUCGGUGACGCAGCUAACGCAUUAAGCACUCCGCCUGGGGAGUACGGUCGCAAGAUUAAAACUCAAAUGAAUUGACGG
rnacentral:rRNA from 1 species